rnacentral:rRNA from 1 species
AAUCAACGCUGGCGGCGCGCUUAACACAUGCAAGUCGAACGAGAAAGGGGAGCAAUCCCUGAGUACAGUGGCGUACGGGUGAGUAACACGUGGAUGAUCUAUCUCUUAGUGGGGAAUAACUCUGGGAAACCGGAGAUAAUACCGCAUAAGCUCGAGAGAGGAAAGCAGCAAUGCGCUGAGAGAGGAGUCCGCGGCCGAUUAGCUAGUUGGUAGGUAAAGGCCUACCAAGGCAUAGAUCGGUAGCCGGCCUGAGAGGGCACACGGCCACACUGGCACUGAAACACGGGCCAGACUCCUACGGGAGGCAGCAGUGGGGAAUCUUGCACAAUGGGGGCAACCCUGAUGCAGCGACGCCGCGUGAGCGAUGAAGCCC